rnacentral:rRNA from 1 species
UACGUAGGGCGCAAGCGUUAUCCGGAAUUAUUGGGCGUAAAGAGCUCGUAGGCGGUUUGUCGCGUCUGCCGUGAAAGUCCGGGCUCAACUCCGGAUCUGCGGUGGGUACGGGCAGACUAGAGUGCGGUAGGGGAGAUUGGAAUUCCUGGUGUAGCGGUGGAAUGCGCAGAUAUCAGGAGGAACACCGAUGGCGAAGGCAGAUCUCUGGGCCGUAACUGACGCUGAGGAGCGAAAGCAUGGGGAGCGAACAGG